GCUUUUACUGUUCCCAAACAUCAACUGUUUCCUCUUUCAUGUUGCCACUGGAUUUAAUGGUGGAAAUGGGGAUGAAAGAUGAAACAGCUGAUGUUUGGGAACAGUAAAAGC